CUCGUUUGCAACCAAACACUCCUUUUCUACUAAUAAAGGAAAAAAAACAAAAAGAAGUUUAAAGACACGGCUGAAGAAGAAGGUUGAAGAGUCUCCGCCUUGGGUUCAGAUUUCACUCACUUUUGUAGAGCUUCCUGAAAAGAUUAUCAUUCUCAGGAGAUUGUUUCUGUUUACGUUUAUGGCGUUUUGGAGUGUGAUGAACUCUGCCAAGGGUGGUCUCGCAUUCCAGUGUAACAACCUAUGAAAACAAAACAUGAUGCUCAGAGACUGAUGAACUUGAUUAUGCUAAUGAAGGAAGAUUGGUAUCUUUUAGUUACACAAAAUAUAAAGUAAACCGGAUGAUGGAGGCUGAAGACGUACAGGACUAACGUAAUAUGGUCUUCCCAAUGUUUUUUAUGUUUAAAGCUCGCGAAAUCUUUUUUUUUUAUAGUUGCAAGAAUUUUGUUGAAGUUAUGUAACUUAGCUAUAUAAUCAAAUAUAAUCAAAGUAUAUUUACCGGUA